AUACGUAGGGGGCGAGCGUUGUCCGGAAUGAUUGGGCGUAAAGGGCGCGUAGGCGGCCCGGUAAGUCUGGAGUGAAAGUCCUGUUUUUAAGAUGGGAAUUGCUUUGGAUACUGUCGGGCUUGAGUGCGGGAGAGGUAAGUGGAAUUCCCAGUGUAGCGGUGAAGUGCGUAGAGAUUGGGAGGAACACCAGUGGCGAAGGCGACUUACUGGACUGUAACUGACGCUGAGGCGCGAAAGUGUGGGGAGCAAACAGGAUUAGAUACCCUGGUAGUCCACACUGUAAACGAUGAAUGCUAGGUGUAGGGGGUAUCGACCCCUUCUGUGCCGCAGUCAACACAAUAAGCAUUCCGCCUGGGGAGUACGGCCGCAAGGUUGAAACUCAAAUGAAUUGACGGGG
rnacentral:rRNA from 1 species